UGUGGGAGCGGGCUUGCUCGCGAAGGCGGUGUGUCAGUCAGCACAUGUAUUCACUGACACUCCGCUUUCGCGAGCAAGCCCGCUCCCACA
rnacentral:misc_RNA from 1 species